AUUGAACGCUGGCGGCAUGCCUUACACAUGCAAGUCGAACGGUAACAGGUCUUCGGAUGCUGACGAGUGGCGAACGGGUGAGUAAUACAUCGGAACGUGCCCGAUCGUGGGGGAUAACGAAGCGAAAGCUUUGCUAAUACCGCAUACGAUCUACGGAUGAAAGCAGGGGACCGCAAGGCCUUGCGCGAACGGAGCGGCCGAUGGCAGAUUAGGUAGUUGGUGGGAUAAAAGCUUACCAAGCCGACGAUCUGUAGCUGGUCUGAGAGGACGACCAGCCACACUGGGACUGAGACACGGCCCAGACUCCUACGGGGGGCAGCAGUGGGGAAUUUUGGACAAUGGGCGAAAGCCUGAUCCAGCCAUGCCGCGUGCAGGAUGAAGGCCUUCGGGUUGUAAACUGCUUUUGUACGGAACGAAAAGACUCUGGUUAAUACCUGGGGUCCAUGACGGUACCGUAAGAAUAAGCACCGGCUAACUACGU
rnacentral:rRNA from 1 species